AGCAGCAGCCGCGGGAAUACCAGCAGCCCAAGUGGUGGUCGCGAUUAUUGGGCCUAAAGCGCUCGUAGCCGGGCCGGUAAGUCCCUUGUGAAGUCGGACGGCCUAACCGUUCGGCGUGCAAGGGAUACUGUCGGUCUUGAGGCCGGGAGACGUCCGAGGUACUCCGGGGGUAGCGGUGAAAUGUUCUGAUCCUCGGGGGACCACCGGUGGCGAAGGCGUUCGACGAGAACGGGCCUGACGGUGAGGGGCGAAGGCUAGGGGAGCAAACGGGAUUAGAUACCCGCGUAGUCCCUGUCCCUUAUU
rnacentral:rRNA from 1 species